rnacentral:rRNA from 1 species
GAUGAACGCUGGCGGCGUGCCUAAUACAUGCAAGUCGAGCGAACGGACGAGAAGCUUGCUUUUCUGAUGUUAGCGGCGGACGGGUGAGUAACACGUGGAUAACCUACCUAUAAGACUGGGAUAACUUCGGGAAACCGGAGCUAAUACCGGAUAAUAUUUUGAACCGCAUGGUUCAAAAGUGAAAGACGGUCUUGCUGUCACUUAUAGAUGGAUCCGCGCUGCAUUAGCUAGUUGGUAGGGUAACGGCUUACCAAGGCAACGAUGCAUAGCCGACCUGAGAGGGUGAUCGGCCACACUGGAACUGAGACACGGUCCAGACUCCUACGGGAGGCAGCAGUAGGGAAUCUUCCGCAAUGGGCGAAAGCCUGACGGAGCAACGCCGCGUGAGUGAUGAAGGUCUUCGGAUCGUAAAACUCUGUUAUUAGGGAAGAACAUAUGUGUAAGUAACUGUGAACAUCUUGACGGUACCUAAUCAGAAAGCCACGGCUAACUACGUG